CACAGCGCUUGUGUCCUGACCUUAAAAUCAAUUACUUCACAACUUACACAUGCAAGUCUCCGCACACCCGUGAAAACGCCCUUUAACCCAUCCAGGAGCAAGGAGCUGAUAUCAGGCACAAUAAUUUGCCCAAAACAUCUAGCCACGCCACACCCACAAGGGUACUCAGCAGUGAUUAAUAUUAAAAAUAAACGUCAGUUUGAUUUAGUUAGUGAAAAAAGAGCCGGCAAAUCUGGUGCCAGCCGCCGCGGUUACACCACUGAGGCCCAAAUUGACCACUUCGGCGUAAAGCGUGAUUAAAGAAACUCUCACUGGGGUUAAACCAGAACUAAACCGUAAAAACCUUGUUCUCAAGAAACUCCACCCGAAAGGCACCCCAACCCACCAACUUGAAUUCACGACAGCUAGAACACAAACUAAGAUUAGAUACCUUACUAUGCCUAGCCGUAAACUUUUAACUUACCCCCAAUACCCGCCAGGAAACUACGAGCAAAGCUUAAAACCCAAAGGACUUGACGGUACCCCAUUCCCCCCUAGAGGAGCCUGUCCUAUAAUCGAUGAUCCCCGUUAAACCUCACCAUCUUUAGUCCCUCAGCUUGUAUACUUCCGUCUCCAGCUCACCGCAUGAGCGAAACUCAGUGAGCUCAAUGGCUUACCGCCAAUACGUCAGGUCAAAGUGCAGCAAAUAAAAUGGUUAGAGAUGGGCUACACUCUCUACUAUAGAAGAUACGAAAAUUACAUGAAACUGUAAUCAGAAGGCGGAUUUAGAAGUAAAAGAAAAUUAGAACAUUUCUUUUAACCCGGCACUGGAGUGUGUACACACCGCCCGUCACCCCCUUCGACAAACUAACUAAGUUCUUAACAACACAAUCUUUAAUAGAAGGGGCAAGUCGUAACAUGGUAAGUGUACCGGAAGGUGUACUUGGAUAAA
rnacentral:ncRNA from 1 species